rnacentral:lncRNA from 1 species
UAGGGAGCUAAGGUUAGCUCUCAAUCUUGAGCUGAAAUAUACCCUUUCGAUAAUUACGUAAUUUGGCCUAGGAGCCUCACUCUCAUGAAUCGUGAGCCAAUCACCUUGCGUAAUUUACUAAUGAGGGCGAGGCUCCAACACCAAAAAGUAUGUGUGACGUAAUUAUCGAAAGGGUGUGCUGAGACCGAGCUGAAAUGGAGUCUAAAUCUGUCUAGUAUUGAUUUGUCGAGGACGUGCACAUUUCCAAUUGCAUAUCGGGAUUAUUCUGAGCUGGAUUGCUUCUACGCUCAGAUUUCAGCCGUUGGGUUCCUCGCCGACCCAACGGCUGGAAUCUGAGCACAGGUUGCUUCUCGGAGUUGCAAACGAUAUUGAAUGGAAAUUUCCGCAGUUUUAAUGUUUACUUCCAAUUUAAACUUACAGCUAUAGUUUUCCUAUUCACAUGCGGUUAUGUACAAUAAGCAAUGCCAACCAACUGUAGAAUUGUCAUAUCAUCUCAGUAGCUGACCAAAUAUGGAUUUUUGACAUAAUAUUCAAUUCAAUAGAGUGACGUCAUAAAGCUGAUAAAAAUAAUAUACAAUGCUAUGACGUCAUGAGUACCGAAGGAGUGAGGAAUACUAGAUUCCCCUUAUUAUGUUUUCGUAGCGCUUUGCAUUGUGGUUAUAGUGGUAUCACUGAUAAAGAUAGCGGCCUCGAAUGAAAAUAUUGAAUGUUUUCGCGAAUAUUUUGCUGUUGGCUAUUGCGCACCUGACCUUAGCUUUUUUUAAAAGUUCUUGCACGGGCCAGGACAAAAAAUUUGCCAUCUUGAAUAUCAGUGAUACCACUAUAACCACAAUGCGAAGCACUACGAAAACGUAAUAAGGGGAAUCUAGUAUUGUAUCAAAACACAAAUCUCUGUUUCACCUUUUAAAUAAAUAAUAAAACAAUUAUUGAAUUCGGUUUUCGCAUGAUAUAAAGAAUUAUCUAAAAUCAAUCAAUAUUAUCUACCUGCCUAAAACCUGAUAUGUAUUUUCAUAGUGUUCUCUUGCUUCUACUUUCAAUAUUUCUUAUUUUGAAUUAUCUUCUUAUUAUGUAACAUACUGCGUGUUUUCAUGGUGUAUAAAAAAGUAAUCAAACUUUGACAAAUUAUCGUGUGUUAAUUAUUACGUUUAUAGGUUUUCUGUUUUCGGUAUUUAUAAAGAUCAGGUUUUUAAUUGUCAAAUGACUGACUGACCUUCACGGAAUCAUCGCGAUAAAAAUGACCAAAUACGGAUCUGAAUUAAAGUGGUACCAACAAAGAUCAGAUUUUUACCUGUCGAAUGGUACUCAGUUUUCUUGUAUCAUUGCGAUCUAAAAUAGCCAAAUAAUGUAUACAAUCCGAUUUAAAAAUGCCAGUCGAAAUCACAUUUCCCCACCGUUUAGGAAGUAAUAUAUGAACAACGAGAGCGAGUGUUUCACCGGGCCAUCCAAACACGAGAAAACAAUGUAUCACAAUGUAUCAAAAUGUAAAACAACUGCUCAUGAAUUAUUGAAUUUGAGAAUUACAUGUAAAGUUAUUGUCUGAGCAUUGAAAUUAUUCUCAUUUGAGAUUCAAAUUUAAUCCUUCGAAUACAGAUGGUGUAAUACAUGCGUUGGCAAGCGUCAAGCUUUUGUAAAUUUCCACUAGUACUCGCAAUUUUGCAUCGAAAUUGAGUGGUUAAAACAUUUUACACAACUGCAAGUUUGCAGACUCAACUCGUAAUGGGCAAAUGUCUGAAAAUUGGACUAUGAAAAAAGUGAAUAGAUAAACGUACUAAUAUA